rnacentral:rRNA from 1 species
GAUUAACGCUAGCGGCAGGCAUAAUACAUGCAAGUUGAACGGCAGCACAGGUAGCAAUACUGGGUGGCGAGUGGCGCACGGGUGCGUAACACGUAUGCAACCUACCCUAUACAGGCGAAUAACCUUUAGAAAUGAGGGCUAAUACGCCGUAGUAUUACAGAUGGGCAUCUAUUUGUAAUUAAAGAUUUAUCGGUAUAGGAUGGGCAUGCGUCCCAUUAGUUAGUUGGUAAGGUAACGGCUUACCAAGACGAUGAUGGGUAGGGGAUCUGAGAGGACUUACCCCCACACUGGUACUGAGACACGGACCAGACUCCUACGGGAGGCAGCAGUAAGGAAUAUUGGCCAAUGGCCGCGAGGCUGACCCAGCCAUGCCGCGUGCAGGAAGACGGCCUUAUGGGUUGUAAACUGCUUUUAUACGGGAAUAAUAGAGUGUACGCGUACAUUUAUGCAAGUAUCGUAUGAAUAAGCAUCGGCUAACUCCGUG